rnacentral:lncRNA from 1 species
ACCCCUCACCGUAAAACCUGUAUACUUUCCCAGAAAAUAGCAUAUAUAUAAACAUAUAUAUAAGCAAAAAUCUCAAAUCUCAAACCUUUAACACUUUUCAGAAAAAUAUAUAUAUAUAACCAUAUGAAAUCUCAAAACUUGAAUCCCAAAUCUUUAACAUUUUUCAAGAAAAACAUGCCAUGCCAUAAAUCAAAAUAUAAAUCAGGUGAAAUAAGGAAUCAAUCGGAGACCCUGCAGUUGGUCCUAUACGAUUAAUUCAAUAGCUCAAUAUCUCACUAAGCCGGAGUCACCACAGUGACCUAUACGGCCCUACUCUGCACAUCACUCGGAACUACGUAAGGUAGUCUGUACGAUGAAAGGUGUAAAAAUACGCUCUAGUGCUUCUCUCAUCAUAUCAUCAGCGCGCAUAACUAAGGUCACCCACUAGUCGGAAUCACGCCUAGUGAUCUGUACGACUAGCAUGUCGGAACCCUCACAUGGUCUGUACGACAUCCACCUACUUGGAUCCAAGGCGAGCGUGCGGUGUGGUGAAUAAAAUAAGCACUAACACCUAGGGUGCAGAUUAUGAGCUUCAAAUUAUAUCAACAUCAACCAAUUCAAUGCAUAAAUGAACUCACCUGACUUACCUUUGCCUCCACAGCACCAUGCAAUAUGUAUGCAUCAUAUAUCAAUCAUAUAAUUCAUAAACCAAUCCAUGAUUUUCAAAUAAUUCUAUGCAUGGCAUGUUCAAAACAUAUUUUCAUAUAAAACAUUUUCUGGGAAAAACAGUAGUAUAUAGGUAAUACGAAAACAAAACUGCCCACUCACCUGGAGUUCGCUCAACAACUCCCUAGCACCACACAUCAAGGCGUCAUGAAGAUUAGCGCCUAGAACAAUAAUCAAACCCAACCUCAGAAAUCCUGCCGAUAGAAUACAUAACUUAUAUAAGACACGUCACUACGUAGUUCGAUCCGGAUGAUCUGCAAUUCAGAUUUCAAAAUCCGAAACUUCCAGAGGUCCACAAUAUACCUCUAGGACAACAUCCUAAAAUUUCGUUACCAUCCAACGGUCGGAUCUCCGUCAAUUUCCAAAACUAAGUGACGGUUAACAUUCUAUUUUAUGAACUUACAAUUCUAAUUCCGGAAUAUCCGUAAAUCGGAUUCCCAAUCCGUAAGUUCCUAUAAUCCUCAAAUAUUACGUAUUACAAUGUAUCAAAGUUUGAUGACGAUCCAACGGUCGGAUCGUCAAUUCACAUUUUCACCUAACCCCGAAUCGUAACCAACUUAGGUUCAAUUAUUCAAUUUACGUCCAUCAAUUAUCAAAACAGAACCUAGAACCUUAAUCACAAGCUAAUAAUGACAUUGGCGGCCAUUGGCCACACGCCGCCGCGCGGGCCGCCGCGGGUGGCGGUUGGCCGCCCCCGGCUCGCCGGAAAAUUCAACUAUUUCCAAAAAUUACCAAAAUUUGCAGAUUUGAAGAUCUCAAUGAGUAGAACAACUUUCAUACCUGAGACCAAGGCCAAUUUGGCCUGGAAGUGCUUCAAUUUCACCAAAACCGUGAAGAACCCUAGAAUUUGGGUGUUUCCAAUUCGACCUUCAAACUUGUUCCAACGCCUCAAUUACCUCUUGGGCUUUGUUCUAGGUCCUAAAGGAAUGCUAAAGGUGUUAGUAAUUGAAAGAAAACAUUUCAAAAUUUGGAGAAUUUAAACAAAAGGGUCGCGGCACCCGUAGGGGUGUUCUUCGCGAAAUCACAACGAAAUUCAAUGAUUCUUGGGGUGAAACGUAAAGAGGGAAGGCCUAGAUGAUGAUUAGGAGUGGUACCUUGACUCAAUUCGUUGGAAAUUUGGACGGAAAUGGCGAAAACCCGCCGAUUUGGAAGCUUGGGUCGCGCGGUCAAGGGUGACCCAUUCCUCCUGUUCCCCCGCGCACCACUCUCCCUCCUUUCCCUCCUUUCCGUCCCCUGAUUGGUCAGCUUCUUCCUCUCCCUUCUUCUGGUUUGCUCUCACCUUCUUCUUCUCCGAUUGGGCAUUUCUGCCCAGUCUCUUCUUCUUUUCUGUUUUUCUGUUUCUUCUUCUCAUACACAUACACACACCAAAAACCUUUCCCUCAUCCCAGCCAUCCAUUUCAUUCAUCAAUAAAUCUGGGCCGUCCAAUUUCAUAAAAGAAUUUCUAUAUUUUACUAAAAUUAUAAUUCCUUAAAAUUCCAAAUUUCAAACGUUAAUAACUUCUUCGAUAUAACUCCAAAUCACGAACCGUCUGCGCCCACACGUCCGUAACGACGAGUACUACGAGGAUAUGUCAAGAAAACAAAUCUUAGAUGGCACGACACAACGAUUAACCUCGAAUGAUGUGCGUGCCUCGAAGGGCAUUUUUGUAAAAUCCUUUAUUAAAACUUUAAAAAUUCUUAAAAUUAGGGACGGGCUGUCACAAUCUACCCACCUUACAGAAAUUUCGUCCUCGAAAUUUACACAAUCUUUACAAUCCAUCAAUAUCCAUGAAACAGCCCGAAACACAUCUCUCUCAUUCGAUUCUUUGACUUUCAAGUAGUUUCUUCCACUGAAAGAUUCCUCCAUAAAUUUUCACCAAACUCAGAGUCUUGAAUAUCAUCCGUCCCCAAUUCUAACAAUUUCGAAACACAAGACAUAGCUUUCCCACGGCCUUAUGGCGUUACUCUAGGGAACAAACUGAAGGAACCAACAUACCCAAGAAGUUUAAACAGAUCCCAAUCUCCUUUUUUCCAUAAAACAAAUAAAUAACUGUUGCGCUUAUCUGGAAAGGUUGAUGUUCUCAUACUGAAGUAACAUGCGCUGACGUCACAAGUUAAUCAAUUAUUAUUCAAACUCCAACCUAACUAUUUGGUAUACGAGGAAGCUUGUCCAUGAAAUCCAUAGUAAUAUUCUCCCAUUUCCGCCGUGGAAUGGGAAAUGACUACAUUAUUCCAAAAGACUUAUUUCUUUCUGCUUUAACCUGAUGACUGAUGAUACGCCUACUAACAUACUUCGCCAUUCCUCUUUUCAUACCCGUCAAUAGUACAUGAACGAAUGGUAUGAUAAAUCUUAGUACUUUUGGGAUGCAUUGUAGAAGUGGAAUAAUGUACAUCGUCAAAAUUGCUUUAUUUAAUUCCACACCAUUAGGCAUAAACACUUUGUUCCCUUGCAUAAGCUUGCCAUCUGAUUCUCUAACUCUAAGGUCCUUCUUUAUCCCGUUAUUCCUUGCUUUAAAUAAAUUCUUAAAUUUCUUCGUCAAACGCUUGAGUAUCGAGUACGAUCUACCAAAUGGGUCCAACUUAGAAAUUAGCAAGUAAGGCUUAUUCUCGAUUUUUGAUACUCAACUUUACUCCAGUAGAUUUCAAAUCCACAAGAAGAUGAACAUAGCAAGCAUACCAAGCAUUAAUUCUCACUGGGGUCUUCCUACUAAAUGCAUCAGCCACAACAUUAGCUUGACCACCCUCGUCACACAAUCAUAAUCACUAAGCAACUCAUUCCACCUUUGUUGCCUAAGAUUAAGAUACCUCUGAAUAAACAGAUAUUGGGUACUCUUUUGAUUUGUAACAAUCAUGCACUUUUCUUCCCAUAAAGACAAUGUCUCCAAAUUCUCAAAGCAAAGAUGAUAGCUGCUAAUUCCAAAUUAUAAUUAGGGUAAUUCAUCUUAUGAGAUCCCAAUGGCCAUGAAGCAUAGGCAAUCAUCCUACCAUGUUGCAUCAACGCGCAUUCAAGAACAUUCAAAGAAGUAUUACUAUAGACCACGUAAUUACCACUAUCGUUUGGGAGUGCGAAAACAGAUGCAUGAGUGAGGGAAUACUUUACUUGCUGAAGCUCUACUCACAAUUUUUCAUCCCACUCAAACUUAACCUCUUUUCUCAUCAAUCUCGCCAAGGGCGAAGCAAUAAUUAAAAUCUUGGACGAACUAUCGACAAUAUCCUGCUAAUCCGAGAAAACUCUGAACCUCAGUCACGGUUGGCAAUUGUUCCAAAUUCUCAAUCGUUGCUACUCUUUUAAGAAUCCACUUGAAUACCUUAAGUAGAUAUAAUUAAUUUAUCCAACAUUAGCAUUUGCUAAACUUAGCAUACAUCAACGUUCCUUCAAUCUUUGCAACACCAACUUUAAAUAUCUAGCAUGCACUGCUCUAAUCUUAUCAAUCUCGUCAAUGGCAACAACAACAAACCGAUCUAGAUAUCACUGGAAUACUUCCUUCAGUAAGCUCAUAAAAGUAGCAGGUGCAUUCGUCACUCCGUAUGGCAUCCCAACUUGAAAUGACCAUAACGAGUCCUGGAUUCAGUCUUAUGGACAUCCCCACUGUUAAUCUUCAACUAAUAUCAUUCAGACCUCAAGUCAGUCUCAGAAAGUACCCAGGCGCCUCAGAGCUGAUCAAAUAAUAAUUAAUACACAACAAUGGAUAACAGCUCUCAAUCGUUACCCGAUUCAAUUACCUAAUAUCAAUGCCUAGCCUUAAUGUCCACUUUCUUCCUCACAAAUAAACCGGAGCUUUUCCAAUGUGAUAUAAUAAGUUGAAUGGAACUUUUAACUAAACCUGAACCAAUUUCUAACAUAGGAUUUGUACCUAAAAACAAUUCAAUAAUGGAACCCACAUCUCUGCCUGGCGGCAAUCUAGGUAAGUCAUCUGGGAAUACACCAAGAAAAUGUCUAACCAUCUUUACAUCUUCCAUACUAUUAGGAUCAACAUCAUUUAGCACCAUAUGAACUCAAUAUCUUGGCAGCCUUUUGAUAACAAUCUUCUUUGCUCUCUCAACAGGAAUAAUGGCAUAACUCACUCCACUUUACUUACCCCCAAAAGUAACCUCUGGUCAUCUAGGUCAACAAAAAUUAACUGAUUCCCCAUAGCAAUCUAGCUUGACACAAUUAUACUGCACCCACUGGUGCCAAAAAAAUCACCUCAAAAUCCAUAAUAUCCAACGGAAUAAAAUUCACUGACAUGACAUUUUUCACCAUCACUGGACACCCUUAAUAAACCAAAUCAACAUAAAGUGCCUUACUUGUUUACUUACUUAACGAAUCCAACAAAUAAGUUAUAAAUAUUACGGUCUGCAGCCCGCAAUACAAAUAACUCACUGUUGUCUCGAUAACUAAGUAACAAUUCCUGAGGGGUGUAAUAUUAUCAUCUUGUUCUUCCUUAGAAAUACAUAAAUACGCCUCGAUCGUGCUCCAACAUUACUUUCUUUGGCAACAUCGACCAUAAUAAGAAAUAUAUCAGCCGGAGUCAGCUAGAAUGACCUGUACGACUGAGUCUACAACUCGACCAUCCAUGCUAGCACAUAAGUCGGAGUCACAUAUAGUGACCUGUACGACUUACUCGUCAAUAUUUCCAAGUGAUAUGUUAAGGAAGACUAUUGGGUAACAACUGAUUCCAGGGACAAUUCAUACCUCUAUGUCCCAUCCGUCCACAUGAACACAUUCACUGAUUCCCACACUCUCCAAAGUGUCUAAUAUUAUACCUAUGGCACAAAGGUACAUUUCCCUUACUCGAGUCACCUUGUCUUUAAGAUCUGGGAUCACCCGUAAAUCUAUCACUUCGCCUCGGACCAGUGGCACUAAAACCUCAGUUGGAAGAAUUAGUUCUAACUUCACUUCUUUUGAAGCUCUGAGUCUUUCGACGUCCUUGAUAUGACGGAUCUUUAACUUUCUCACCUUUCCUCUAAUUACCAUUCUUUUCUUAUUCUUCUUUACUCUCGCUGAUCAUAUUCUCAAAGUCCUCAAAGCCCAACAACAUCUCGUAAACUCCUGGUAAAAAGUACAAUGGAUUGUGGUCGCCAAAGAACGUCACUUCUUCUUAUUAUCCCGCCAAAAAACGACAUAACACCUCGACCGGAUUAGUAACAACAUCCGAAUGGAAACAAGGCAAGUCUGUAUUCAAAUUUAACUUAUAAUCAGUCUCAAAGGUUCCUUUAGAUAAUAGACUGAAUCAUAGUGACAAUAAUUUCCCCCAAACUACUAUAUCAGGGAAUUUAGGCUCAUCCGAACUACGUGGCUCGCUAUGAGGCGGUAUAUAGUUCUGACAGAAGACACUAGGAAAUUCUCAAGAUGUCCAGAAUUGCAACCUAGGCUCUGAUACCAACUGACACACCCGUCCCGACACCCGUCCCGAAGUGAGGGCGUGCUGGCCGUCACGUGAGAGUGACGUAACCAUUUACAUAGUUCAGAAGCUUUAAAAAAAAAUUUCCAAUUACUAAGAUGACACACCCGAGGGUGAGUCCUACUUUUGUGAAUUCUGUCAGAACACCGUUGGAUUCCUCGUGGCCACCAAAGCUCUGCUAACUUGAACCUGGAGGGGCGCAAAACAAAAUUGAGUGGGUCAGUAAAAACAAAGUUUUUUGAAAACUUUUCAUUUAAAAUAUUUCUAACCCCUCACCGUAAAACCUGUAUACUUUCCCAGAAAAUAGCAUAUAUAUAAACAUAUAUAUAAGCAAAAAUCUCAAAUCUCAAACCUUUAACACUUUUCAGAAAAAUAUAUAUAUAUAUAUAACCAUAUGAAAUCUCAAAACUUGAAUCCCAAAUCUUUAACAUUUUUCAAGAAAAACAUGCCAUGCCAUAAAUCAAAAUAUAAAUCAGGUGAAAUAAGGAAUCAAUCGGAGACCCUGCAGUUGGUCCUAUACGAUUAAUUCAAUAGCUCAAUAUCUCACUAAGCCGGAGUCACCACAGUGACCUAUACGGCCCUACUCUGCACAUCACUCGGAACUACGUAAGGUAGUCUGUACGAUGAAAGGUGUAAAAAUACGCUCUAGUGCUUCUCUCAUCAUAUCAUCAGCGCGCAUAACUAAGGUCACCCACUAGUCGGAAUCACGCCUAGUGAUCUGUACGACUAGCAUGUCGGAACCCUCACAUGGUCUGUACGACAUCCACCUACUUGGAUCCAAGGCGAGCGUGCGGUGUGGUGAAUAAAAUAAGCACUAACACCUAGGGUGCAGAUUAUGAGCUCAAAUUAUAUCAACAUCAACCAAUUCAAUGCAUAAAUGAACUCACCUGACUUACCUUUGCCUCCACAGCACCAUGCAAUAUGUAUGCAUCAUAUAUCAAUCAUAUAAUUCAUAAACCAAUCCAUGAUUUUCAAAUAAUUCUAUGCAUGGCAUGUUCAAAACAUAUUUUCAUAUAAAACAUUUUCUGGGAAAAACAGUAGUAUAUAG